rnacentral:misc_RNA from 1 species
AACUAUCAACCUUUGUGGCUUUCUAUUUUGUUAGCCAUUUUGGUUUGGAUGUUGGAGGUUGCUGGCCUUUAAAGGUCAGCUCUUCUUAAAUACAUUAGCGAAAUCUUUGCUGAAUUAUCCUUUGGUGUGAUAAUUAUCUAUGCCAUUGAGAAUCACAGAUUUUGCUUCUAACCGUCCUUUUGGACACCAUUGUACAAAU